rnacentral:rRNA from 1 species
AUUGAACGCUGGCGGCAGGCCUAACACAUGCAAGUCGAACGAGUGGCGGACGGGUGAGUAAUGUCUGGGAAACUGCCUGAUGGAGGGGGAUAACUACUGGAAACGGUAGCUAAUCCCGCAUACCAUCGGAUGUGCCCAGAUGGGAUUAGCUAGUAGGUGGGGUAAAGGCUCACCUAGUCGACGAUCCCUAGCUGGGCUGAGAGGAUGACCAGCCACACGUGAACUGGGAAACGGUCCAGACUCCGACGGGGGGCAGCAGUGGGUAAGAUUGCACAAUGGGCGCAAGCCUGAUGCAGCCAUGCCGCGGGUAUGAAGAAGGCCUUCGGGUUGUAAAGUACUUUCAGCGGGGAGGCGUUACCCGCAGAAGAAGCACCGGCUAACUCCGUGCCAGCAGCCGCGGUAAUUC